UGCGUAGGUGGCUGGUUAAGUUUGAGGUGAAAGCUCCGAGCUCAACUCGGAAAAUGCCUUGAAGACUAUCUGACUAGAGGAUUGGAGGGGGAGAUUGGAAUUCUCGGUGUUGCAGUGAAAUGCGUAGAUAUCGAGAGGAACACCAGUGGCGAAGGCGAAUCUCUGGACAAUUCCUGACACUGAGGCACGAAAGCCAAGGGAGCAAACG
rnacentral:rRNA from 1 species